rnacentral:tRNA from 1 species
UCCCUGGUAGCUCAGAUGGUAAAGCAUCUGCCUACAAUGCAGGAGACCCGGGUUCGAUCCCUGGGUCGGGAA